rnacentral:rRNA from 1 species
GACGAACGCUGGCGGCGUGCUUAACACAUGCAAGUCGAACGAUGAAGCUCCUGCUUGCAGGGGUGGAUUAGUGGCGAACGGGUGAGUAACACGUGAGUAACCUGCCCCUGACUGCGGGAUAAGCCCGGGAAACUGGGUCUAAUACCGCAUAUGACACCUGGCCGCAUGGUCUGGGUGUGGAAAGUUUUUCGGUUGGGGAUGGGCUCGCGGCCUAUCAGCUUGUUGGUGGGGUAAUGGCCUACCAAGGCGACGACGGGUAGCCGGCCUGAGAGGGCGACCGGCCACACUGGGACUGAGACACGGCCCAG